GACGAACGCUGGCGGCGUGCUUAACACAUGCAAGUCGAACGAUGAAGCCUUUCGGGGUGGAUUAGUGGCGAACGGGUGAGUAACACGUGGGCAAUCUGCCCUGCACUCUGGGACAAGCCCUGGAAACGGGGUCUAAUACCGGAUACGACCUGCUCCUGCAUGGGGGUGGGUGGAAAGCUCCGGCGGUGCAGGAUGAGCCCGCGGCCUAUCAGCUUGUUGGUGGGGUAAUGGCCUACCAAGGCGACGACGGGUAGCCGGCUUGGGAGGGCGACCGGCCACACUGGGACUGAGACACGGCCCAGACUCCUACGGGAGGCAGCAGUGGGGAAUAUUGCACAAUGGGCGAAAGCCUGAUGCAGCGACGCCGCGUGAGGGAUGACGGCCUUCGGGUUGUAAACCUCUUUCAGCAGGGAAGAAGCGCAAGUGACGGUACCUGCAGAAGAAGCACCGGCUAACUACGUGCCAGCCGCCGCGGUAACAC
rnacentral:rRNA from 1 species